AAUGAUCUACUAGUUGUUGCAUGAUUUUCAUAUCGCAUAUUGUGAGGCAUGGCAUGUAUUUCAAUUGAAUAUAUAUAUAUCUGUGGUAUAUUGUUGAACUAACAUGUUGCAGUGCCUCCUCGGACCUAUCGGUCGAGCUUUUCCCUUGGGUGGCCGUACCCACUGGGAACCAUGGAGUUGGUUCUCACCCCACGUUGUUUUGGGGUUUUCAGGUCGUUCGUGUGCGGCGCGGCGGCGCGAGGCGAGGGCGUAGCUCAGUAGAUAGUGCUCCACCACAGAGACCGAGGUAGCAGUACCCUGAGACAGUCUAGCUUAGGGGUCUAGAAGACAAGAAUAGAAAAUGUAUCAAACUCGUAAACUCUAAUGUAAUAGUGAGAUUGUAAUUCGGAAGUAAAAAUGUAAACUGAAACUGUGAUGUAAAACGUGGUUGUGAAAUGAAUGCUUGUAAUAGCAAGUAGAUUAUGUAUUUGAUACUUCCUUAUGCAAUCUGGAUUGAUAUCCGUUCCUUGUUGGAACAUUCGUUGAUUGUUUGGAUUGCGACGCCUUGGACGUACUGGGGAGACUCUGUCCGCGUACAGGGAAAUUCCCGGUCCGUUCGGCGGUCUGUCGGCGGCGCCGCGACCCGGUCCAAAUUGGCGGUUGGUCGCGGGGCGUGACAA
rnacentral:lncRNA from 1 species